AUACGGAGGAUCCGAGCGUUAUCCGGAUUUAUUGGGUUUAAAGGGAGCGUAGGUGGAUUGUUAAGUCAGUUGUGAAAGUUUGCGGCUCAACCGUAAAAUUGCAGUUGAAACUGGCAGUCUUGAGUACAGUAGAGGUGGGCGGAAUUCGUGGUGUAGCGGUGAAAUGCUUAGAUAUCACGAAGAACUCCGAUUGCGAAGGCAGCUCACUAGACUGUUACUGACGCUCAUGCACGAAAGUGCGGGGAUCGAACAGGAUUAGAUACCCUGGUAGUCCGCACAGUAAACGAUGAAUACUUGUUUUCGGCGAUAUAAUGUCGGAGGCAAAGCGAAAGCGAUAAGUAUUCCACCUGGGGAGUACGCCGGCAACGGUGAAACUCAAAUGAAUUGACGGGG
rnacentral:rRNA from 1 species